rnacentral:rRNA from 1 species
GAUGAACGCUGGCGGCGUGCCUAAUACAUGCAAGUCGAGCGAACGGACGAGAAGCUUGCUUCUCUGAUGUUAGCGGCGGACGGGUGAGUAACACGUGGAUAACCUACCUAUAAGACUGGGAUAACUUCGGGAAACCGUAGCUAAUACCGGAUAAUAUUUUGAACCGCAUGGUUCAAAAGUGAAAGACGGUCUUGCUGUCACUUAUAGAUGGAUCCGCGCUGCAUUAGCUAGUUGGUAAGGUAACGGCUUACCAAGGCAACGAUGCAUAGCCGACCUGAGAGGGUGAUCGGCCACACGGGAAGUGAGACACGGUCCAGACUCCUAAGGGAGGCAGCAGUAGGGAAUCUGCCGCAAUAGGCGAAAGCCUGGCGGAGCAACGCCGCGUGAGUGAUGACGAUGUUCGGAGCGUAAAGCUCGGUUAUUAGGGAAGAACAGAUGUGUAAGUAGCUGUGCACAGAUUGACGGUACCUAAUCAGAAAGCAACGGCUAACUACGUG